GUUUUUUUUUCUUCCUGGGGCCACGGAAGGAAAUUCUUACGUUUAGCAUUUUAUUUAGCCUUUAAUUAUCGUGCGUGCUCUAGCUAUCCUCUGGUUCACUCCGCGGCUCCCAUGGGCUUUGUCGCCCUCUUCCCGGAGUCUCUCUCUCUCUUUUUUUUUUGCAUGGUAGUCUACUGUGUGACGUCACAGACUUUCACUCGCUGCCGCCGCUGAGCUCGGGAGCUGCUCGCGCUCCUCUCCCCGUGAAACAAAGUAGUGUCCGCGAGACCGGAGCGAAACGAGAAAACAUAGUCAGAAUGGGGCGCCUGAAUCCGCAACAGGGAUAAACAAACCAAAAAAAGACUAAGAAAGAGGUUGGAAAUCAUCCCAAACUUACCGGAAAACUUUGGAAAACUAUCAGCCGUGCCAGCACACUGUGAACAUGGAUACAUUUUUGUUCCUGGGACUCACGUUUCUCCUUUCGCCGAGCGUGAGAGUCUGGGGUCAGAUACCGACAGCUCACAUGGGCCGCGCUGAGAAGGGUGAGUUCUGAUGGCCGGCCAAGAGCUGAGCUUCAUCUCCUGCCAUCCUCCUCUAGUAUCCGUCUCAUCGUCCCUCGCCCGUUUUCAUUUGUCCUCCGUGGUGUCGUCGUCAUCUUGUGUUGUUUUUAACACCGGCCCGUCUUAACAUUGUAUUUGUAGCCAUCGUACCAUCCUUGGGACUUGUGUGAAUUUACUAAACCAUCUCCACUCAUGUAGUCACUCUAAUCCAACUAAAAUAUCUGUUGAUGGAAGAUGUCCUCCCGCUGUAUCUCUUUUGGGUCUUCCGACUUCAAGCAACGGGGAACUAUCUGGAGACUCAAAUCUAAUUUUGGGACUCUAUUGUGUUGUGUUGUCUGACUUUAUCUCCUCCCUGUCCCUCCCUCUGUCUGUGUGGAUACUUAGUCAGCUGUCAUUGUUGGUUUGAAGUCUCCACAGGUGUUGUUUGUUCAGUUGAGCCUGGUCUUUUAUUAAAGGGGACUCGGGGAGUAACUUUGUUCCGGCGCCAACUGAACACAAGUACAUUGUUUAGUCUCUUCUCUAGCAUUAUUUAUCGUGUACAAAGCCAUAAUCGCAUUUGUCUAGCGCACACAGUACAUUUUCAUAUCUGGUUCUUUUAACACACACACACACACACACACACACACACACACACACACACACACACACACACACACACACACACACACACACACACACACACACACACACACACACACACACACACACACACACACACACACACACACACACACACACACACACACACACACACACACACACCAAAU